UCUGAACAGAGAAAUAAAAGUCCUGGGAAAAAAAGAACAAGCUCCGGUCAUCCAUGAUUAGACACAACGCAGAGUCCAUCACACCAAGAAGAGACCGGUUACAUUUAGGCAGUUAAAGAGGAGAUGGAACACUCACCUGUGGAUUCGAGCUUCUCUCAGUUUCAUUGAUGAUCUUCCUCAGCGUCGGGAGCUCAGUCUGGAGGGCGGCUGGGACUCGAACCCUCCACCUAGCGACACACUGCAGCCAGGGGGAGGAGUGAAGCUGAGGAAUGCAGCUCUUCUGGAUCCACCGCCUGACAAGUGAUGCAGCUCAGUUGUGGGAGAUAAACGUGUGAAGCUUCAUGAAGUAAACGUUGUGAACAGAACUGGACCAGGACCGACCACUGACCUCUUGAAACCACCUGAAGCUCCAGAUCCUUCACAGAACACCUGCUCUCUCUGGAUGUUGCUGAACUCACCACGAAGAAUGAAUAAAUCCUGAGGAGAAAUCUACACCUGUUGAAACUAUGUCCCUCUUGCUGAAUCGUCUCCAGAGGAACUUCUGGUGCUGGUUAUGAUCCGGUCCUCCUCUUCACCACAACCCUCUCAGCUGUUGACACGUGGGUAUCGGAUGUGUGGCCUCUCCUCGGAGCCCCGGGUGAU